rnacentral:tRNA from 1 species
GAGGGUACAGCUCAGUGGUAGAGCGUGUGCUUAGCAUGCACAAUGUCCAGGGUUCAAUCUCCAGUACCGCCA